rnacentral:miRNA from 10 species
AAUGCAACAUAUGCGGUUGAAUUUGAAUUUCAGAUAAAAACUUUUUUUUUUAGCAUAAGCAUGCCCCAUGCAAUAUUUGGAACAUACUUAUGCUAAAACAUAUAUUAUUUAUUCUCUAUCUGAAAGUCCAUUUCAAGCAGGCAUCCUGUAUUUU